rnacentral:tmRNA from 1 species
GGGGGCGACUGGAUUCGACGGGGGUUGCGAAAUCGCCUGGUGCAUGCCGAGGUCGUCACUCACCUCGUUAAUCAAGUGGCAAAACACUUAGACGCCAACGACGACGUCUACGCUCUCGCCGCUUAAGGCGUAAGCCCCGAACCCACUUGUGCCCGUGCUCGUGGAUGUAGGGUCAUUAUCACGGAACCGGCUGUGACGGCUGCCUGUCAGUCAUGGCUUAACCAAAACAGGCUGGUUCCCGGAUGCGCUUUGCGCGCCGUGCUGUCAGGGAACGAGACCUAACGGAGCGCUAAGCAUGUAGUACCGGGGAUGGCGUGCCUUCGGACGGGGGUUCAAUUCCCCCCACCUCCACCA